GUUGGUGCUGAAGGUGAUGAUGAAGCAGAUGGUGAAGAUGAUGAGGAGUACUAAGCCAUGAUGUAGGCUGUAAAAUGCCGGUCUGUUUUUAUUUUCUUCAGUGUCUUUAUGUUGCACUAGUAAAAACUUUUAUGUGGGUUGAAUUCUGUUGGUGCUGAAGGUGAUGAUGAAGCAGAUGGUGAAGAUGAUGAGGAGUACUAAGCCAUGAUGUAGGCUGUAAAAUGCCGGUCUGUUUUUAUUUUCUUCAGUGUCUUUAUGUUGCACUAGUAAAAACUUUUAUGUGGGUUGAAUUCUGUUGGUGUUAAAACAUGUGUUUGCACUUCGUGCUAUCUUCUUGGUUAUGCUGUACUUUUCUUUGUACGACUUCUCAUGGUAUUUUUUCUACAUUUCGUUGAAUUACUCUAUCAUUUGUAGAACUAGCUGUUACCAAUUUGUUUCGUC
rnacentral:misc_RNA from 1 species